rnacentral:lncRNA from 1 species
CUUUGUGUGGCUUUCUGAAACACAUUCCCAACUUUUUUUUCUACAUUGCAAACAAAGUUCUGAAAAUACAGCAUCUUUUGAAAUGGCUGUUAAACCUGUGCUGCCCACAUCAUGUUGCUUCAAGGCUUUCAGAAGUUGCUAUUCAGAAUUAGGGCAAGCAACUAUACACCUCCCUGUGGCUGCAGAUACUAUUCAUGAUUGCAGCACAGGGGUGACCUGAUUUCAUAUCAGAAAGAAUUACCUGACCUGAUUUCACACCAGGAAGUAUUAGCUGUCAGACAACAACUUAAAAUAGAUCAUCACCCAAAACAAGGAGCUUACUGCAAACCUCAGGACAAAAGCAGGGUAGGCUGCUCACCGUUCACAAAGGUCAAUGAAGGCACCCUGGCCACACAGAGCAGACAGCAGCAGCGUCCUAAUGGGGCCUGGCUAAGGUCUGAGCUUCUGCAUCACAUCUUUCCCUACUGUUCAACAGGUUCCUGACCCACAGAAGUUAUGCAUUUGAUUGUUUCUGCCAAUCCCUGCUAUCAAGUACAGCUGAUGUUUAGUUUUCCUGGAAACCAACACAGCUAUUUCAACUGAGCCUGACUAUCUAUUCCUCUUUGAACAGUUUAGCUUGCUCCAGCAUUCACUGAAAAAGUAAUGCCCAUCAUCUCCAGUCCGUGACACUACUAGAUUUCUCCUAAUUCUGAUACCCCUGGUCCACUUGCUCCAGGCUAGGUGCUCCUAAAAAACAGCCACGUGACAGAGGCAGUAGUAGCCUAAAUAGAAUCAAACUUAAUUUCUGAACAACUGUCAGUGGCUCUAAAAGCAACCAUCCCCUUCAAUAAGGAAUUAAUGUUUGGUUAGAAGGAUAAUGUAUUAAUACUUCCUCACAUUUAUGAGUGUUCACAAGUGUUAUAAAGCCAGAAGGUCUACCUGAAAUUCCCAUUUUAAUCAGCAUGCCAAUAGCAAAACCAGGACUGAGUUCAUUCGUUCAUUUUUACACAAUGGCCUGCAUUUGAAGUCCUCAGGACAGGUGCUAUCUUGAGCUAAAGGAUACAUCAGGGAAAUGUUGACCUUUGGCUUAAUGGAAACUCCUCCUGGCCUACUCUCCUGAGUAGUGUUUAGUCAUCAUUUGUUUUCCUCUUGUGCUCUCUGCUUUUCUGAGACAGAUUUUAGAAGAGACAGGUACAAUUUUUCUGGCCACAUUUAGGCCUGUAGAAUGUAGAUGUGUUAGUCUUGCUCUGUGCUUUGUAUUCCCUGGAUAGUUAAUAGCAAGAGGUAGCCCCUUUAGAGCAUGAAUCCUAGAAUUCACCCUGAGCAAGUGUUGGGAUUCGAGAGCUCAUGUUCUGCACCUUAUCUUCUCUGUCCAUUGCUUGCGGAAGGACCUUGGAGAGGAGCUCAGCCUCAGACACUGGUCCUUGGGUAUUUCAUUUAGGAAAAAUGGAUCCUAA